CGCUCUCCCCGCUGGCGGGAGGGGCCGCGCCGCCGCUCGGCGCGGUGCCCGGGGCAGGGAGGUGAUGAUUAACCUGCGGGCCACUGAAUACCUGCCUAAAGUCGCGCCCAGGGUGGGGUUUAACCUUGUGCGAGGCUCGGUGCCUCCCGUGUGACUCUGCCCGAGAGCCUGCGGCGGCCAGUUCUGCUGCUGCCGCCGAAGCGCUGCGGGGAUGCGCAGCUCCCUGUUGAAAAUCUCUGCUCUAAAUCUCAGCCUAGAGCUCGCCUCGCAGUCUUUUUUGGCGGCUUCAGGCUCAAGAGGUCGAGAUGACGGUGUGGUCUCGGCGAGCGUCUCUGCACCAGCAGCCUCGGGCUGCAGUUGCUCGAGUAUUUGUGGCCGGCACUUGAAUCCACGCUGGCCCCUUUUCCUCGAGCUGAGCUGCAAGGAGCCCGGCAGCUGCGGCAUUUAGUUCAAUUACUUCAGAUGAUGUGUAAAUUUUCAAUAAUGGCAAUACAUUCAUUCUGCCAUUUGGAGGAGCCUGUGCCACAGAAUAAUGAUCUGAAGAAAGCUCACUUAUUUGCAAGGAAGAGUCUUCAUUUGGGAAUUAGUACUGAUGCAGCUCAAGGGUGCUUUUUCAAGUCCAGGUCCUUGACAUUCAGUGGGAUGAGAAUCUCAGAACUGACUACUGGGGACUCCCAGGCUACAGAUCAGGAGGAGAGUCUGUUGCUUUGUCUGCAAUACAGCUAUGGGAGUUUAAGGGUCUUUCAAGAGAGGAUAUUUCAUUCCUGA
rnacentral:lncRNA from 1 species